rnacentral:sRNA from 1 species
GCUCAGGUCGCUGUCGCACUCCUCCUCCCAGUGCCCGCGGCAUCGAUUGGCGCCGCCCUUCCUCCCAAGCCGCCAAUUACCAUCAAGCCCGGUGCCCCUCCCGCACCGGGCUUUUUUU